GGUUGUAUAUAGCUGUAAUCCCUGUUACUUGGGAAAGUGGAGGCUGGUAGAUUGCUUGAGUUAGGGAGUUCUGAGCUGCAAGAGGGCUAAAGCUGAUCAGGAGUCCACACUAAGUCCAACACCAAUAUGGCGGGCCCAUGGGAGCACCAGGCUGUCUAAGGAGAGGUGAACUGAUCCAGGUCAGAAAAAAAGAGGUUAGAGCUUCUGUGCCAAUCUGUAUUGGGAUUGGGCAUAUGAGUGGCUGCUGCAUGUUCCAGCCUAGGUGAGAUGGGGCAAUACAGCCUCAA
rnacentral:SRP_RNA from 1 species